rnacentral:tRNA from 1 species
GAGGGUGCAGCUCAGUGGGAGAGCACGUGCUUAGCAUGCACGAGGUCCUGGGUUAACUCCCCGUACCUCCA